GGACACGGCCAUACCAGCCAAAGAACGCCCGAUUUCGUCUGAUCUCGGAAGCUAAGAAGGCUUGGGCCUGGUUAGUACUUGGAUGGGAGACUGCCUGGGAAUAUCUGGUGCUGUAAGCU
ensembl:rRNA 5S_rRNA 5S ribosomal RNA